rnacentral:rRNA from 1 species
AGCGAACGCUGGCGGCAGGCUUAACACAUGCAAGUCGAGCGGGCACUUUCGGGUGUCAGCGGCGGACGGGUGCGUAACGCGUGGGAACGUGCCCUCUGGUUCGGAAUAACUCAGGGAAACUUGAGCUAAUACCGGAUACGCCCUUUUGGGGAAAGGCUUGCUGCCGGAGGAUCGGCCCGCGUCUGAUUAGCUAGUUGGUGAGGUAACGGCUCACCAAGGCGACGAUCAGUAGCUGGUCUGAGAGGAUGAUCAGCCACACUGGGACUGAGACACGGCCCAGACUCCUACGGGAAGCAGCAGUGGGGAAUAUUGGACAAGGGGCGCAAGCCUGAUCAAGCCAUGCCGCGUGAGUGAUGAAGGCCUUAGGGUUGUAAAGCUCUUUUAUCCGGGACGAUAAUGACGGUACCGGAGGAAUAAGCCCCGGCUAACUUCGUG